rnacentral:rRNA from 1 species
GACGAACGCUGGCGGCGUGCUUAACACAUGCAAGUCGAACGGAAAGGCCCCGCUUUUGUUGCGUGCUCGAGUGGCGAACGGGUGAGUAACACGUGAGUAACCUGCCCUUGACUUUUGGAUAACUUCAAGAAACUGGGGUUAAUACCGGAUAGGAUCUCCUGCUGCAGGGUGGUGGUUGGAAAGGUUCGGCGGGUUGGGAUGGACGCCCGGCUUAUCAGGUUGUUGGGUGGGGAGUUGCUUACCAAUGGUUUGACGGGUAGCCGGCCCGAGAGGGUGACCGGGCAAAAUGGGACUGGGAUACGGGCCAGACUUCUUCGGGAAGCAACAGGUGGGAAUUUUUCACCAUGGGCGGGAGCCCGAAGCAGGAAAGGCGGGGGGGGGAUGACGGGCUUUGGGGUUUUAAACGGUUUCAGCAUGUGACAAGCUGGUAGUGACGGUACUUGCAAAAGAAGCACCGGCUAACUACGUG